GACGAACGCUGGCGGCGUGCUUAACACAUGCAAGUCGAGCGAUGAAGUUCCUUCGGGAAUGGAUUAGCGGCGGACGGGUGAGUAACACGUGGGUAACCUGCCUCAUAGAGGGGAAUAGCCUUUCGAAAGGAAGAUUAAUACCGCAUAAGAUUGUAGUAUCGCAUGAUACAGCAAUUAAAGGAGUAAUCCGCUAUGAGAUGGACCCGCGUCGCAUUAGCUAGUUGGUGAGGUAACGGCUCACCAAGGCGACGAUGCGUAGCCGACCUGAGAGGGUGAUCGGCCACAUUGGGACUGAGACACGGCCCAGACUCCUACGGGAGGCAGCAGUGGGGAAUAUUGCACAAUGGGGGAAACCCUGAUGCAGCAACGCCGCGUGAGUGAUGACGGUCUUCGGAUUGUAAAACUCUGUCUUCAGGGACGAUAAUGACGGUACCUGAGGAGGAAGCCACGGCUAACUACGUGCCAGCCGCCGCCGUAACAC
rnacentral:rRNA from 1 species